rnacentral:rRNA from 1 species
GACAGAGGUGCCGAGCGUUAGGCGGAAUCACUGGGCUUAAAGCGUGUGUAGGCGGGCGGGCAAGUACCUUGUGAAAUCCCACGGCUCAACCGUGGAACUGCUGGGUAUACUGCCUGUCUUGAGCCAGCCAGGGGCAGUCGGAACAGACGGUGGAGCGGUGAAUGCGUAGAUAUCGUCUGGAACGCCAAAGGUGAAAACAGACUGCUGGGGCUGUGCUGACGCUGAGACACGAAGCCAGGGGAGCGAACGGG